GUGGCGUAUGCCGCCGUCGCAUCGCAAGUCGAGCGGACAGAAGGGAGCUUGCUCCCGGAUGUUAGCGGCGGACGGGUGAGUAACACGUGGGUAACCUGCCUGUAAGACUGGGAUAACUCCGGGAAACCGGAGCUAAUACCGGAUAGUUCCUUGAACCGCAUGGUUCAAGGAUGAAAGACGGUUUCGGCUGUCACUUACAGAUGGACCCGCGGCGCAUUAGCUAGUUGGUGGGGUAAUGGCUCACCAAGGCGACGAUGCGUAGCCGACCUGAGAGGGUGAUCGGCCACACUGGGACUGAGACACGGCCCAGACUCCUACGGGAGGCAGCAGUAGGGAAUCUUCCGCAAUGGACGAAAGUCUGACGGAGCAACGCCGCGUGAGUGAUGAAGGUUUUCGGAUCGUAAAGCUCUGUUGUUAGGGAAGAACAAGUGCGAGAGUAACUGCUCGCACCUUGACGGUACCUAACCAGAAAGCCACGGCUAACUACGUGCCAGCACCCGCGGUAAUACGUAGGUGGCAAGCGUUGUCCGAAAUUAUUGGGCGUAAAGGGC
rnacentral:rRNA from 1 species